ensembl:ncRNA ZK617.20 ncRNA
CUUGCAACUCAUUACUCACAAUCAGAUUUGUGUUAUUUUUCAUCUAUAGUAUUCUAUACUAUUUUUACUAUCUGUAAAAUAAAUCGAGGUAUAACUUGUCAACGAUUAGGAACAAGGCGCAAGACUAAUUGAGGAUAUUUGAUAUUUGU